GCACCUUGUGAAGGGGUGUUGCUGGCCAAUGGAGCACAGGCACAUUGUUUGCACCUGUGUUCCCCACAUGACCAGAAGGGGUGGAUGCAGAGCAGAGCCAUCCUGGACUAAUUUACGGGCUAGCCACUGAAAGGAGGAUUUCUCUUGGGCUUAGGCUGCUUCCUUAGAUGGAGUGCUGUGUAGUUAGAGUCCCUUCACAAGCAGGAUGCAUCUGCCAUCCAUGAUGGUGAGAACUUACAGUAUGUAGGAACCCACAGUGCUACUCUUCACCUUUUCCUGGAGCCAUGCAUAGCUUCUUCCUUUGGUAUAAAAGCAGUGUCAUAAAUCCAGGUUACCGCAAAGAAGAAUAAAGACAUAUUAGCACAUAUCUUUCAUUCUCUGAGUUACAGAAUGGCAGGAUAUUUUAGUCCAAAAUCCUACCAGAUGUGCAGCAAAGUCAACAUACCUCUGCCUGUUGGCUCUUUACUGAUUGUAACAACUUUAGGGUUGGUAUGUA